rnacentral:rRNA from 1 species
CCUACGGGAGGCAGCAGUGAGGAAUAUUGGUCAAUGGGCGGGAGCCUGAACCAGCCAUGCCGCGUGAAGGCGAGUGCCCUACGGGCGUUAAACUUCUUUUGUGCGGGAGCAAUAAGGGCCACGUGUGGCCCGAUGAGAGUACCGCACGAAUAAGCAUCGGCUAACUCCGUGCCAGCAGCCGCGGUAAUACGGGGGAUGCGAGCGUUAUCCGGAUUUAUUGGGUUUAAAGGGUGCGCAGGCGGCGCUUCAGGUCAGCGGUGAAAUACCGGGGCUCAAACCCGGGGCUGCCGUUGAAACCGGGGCGCUUGAGUUGCGAAGCCGUAGGAGGAAUGUGUGGUGUAGCGGUGAAAUGCAUAGAUAUCACGCAGAACACCGAUUGCGAAGGCAUCAGACGAGUCGGAGAUUGACGCUGAUGCACGAAAGCGUGGGUAUCGAACAGGAUUAGAUACCCCUGUAGUC